ensembl:lncRNA
AAAGUUUCAAUCUCUGUUAUUUUCCCCCAAAAACGUGUUGUCGCAAUAAUGUUUUCUACGGUCAUUGGUGCCAACAGAUGGCGGCAGUUUAAAGUUGGGUGUUACUCUGCCCAGGCUGCUACCAUAGAAGAAGAAUGUAGACCAAUAGUACUUUAACGAUUUCCGCUGAUCGUUUCCGUGUAAAUCUUAGCAUUGCGUUAGCUGUCAAGCUAAAAGUUUAGCUUCAUACAGCCAUAUUUUCAGAGUAACAAAAUAUUUAAACGGUCUCAGAUCAUGGACAGUGAAGUGUCUGACACUGACCAUGUACCAGUGCCUGAGAACACUGGUAUGGAGGGGGAGAACGCACCUCUUUACUGCAUUUGUCGGAAACCAGACAUCAACUGCUUCAUGAUCCUUUGCCAUGAUAAAUUGGUCAGUUUACAACCAGGAGCCGUACACCUUAACCUCAGAGGCCAGGACAUCCAGGGCAGUGUGAAACACACUUCUUUAAAUGGGAUGUAGUACUGUCUAUAGAGGGCCACCCCUCGCCAGACAACCAAGUGCUGUCCCUGUGCACGGCCAGUGUGAGAAGGACUCUCACUAAAGUCAACCCACACAAAGCUGCUGGACCAGACAAUAUACCCGGACGUGUGCUCGGAGCCUGUGCUGACCAGCUGACUGAUGUCCUAGCGGGCAUCUUUAACAUCUCCCUGAGUCAAGCUGUUGUGCCAAGUGCUUUAAAACCACCACCAUCUUACCUGUACCAAAGACAGCUACAGCCUCGCAGUUCGAAGACAAUGGACGAUGCGAUCUCAUUGGCACUCCACCUAGCCCUAUCACAACUGGAUCAAUGCAACGUCCACCUAAGAAUGCUGUUCACUGAUUUCAUCUUAGCAUUCAACACCAUCAUUGCCCAGCAGCUGAUCGGCAAGCUGGACCUGCUCAGACUUAACACCUCCACCUGCAACAGGAUCCUGGUCUUUCUUACUGAUGGACCCCAGACAGUACAGGUUGGAAAUAUAAGAUCCAACACCAUCACACUGAGCACAGCCCACCCCCCCGGGGAUGUGUGCUGAGCCCGCUACUCUUCACGCUGCUGACCCACGACUGCACCUCCAGCUCCAACAUGUGAUGAGUCAAUGUUGUGAUUGUUUGUGAUUUAUGUGGGACUCCUCCCACCAAAGGAUGGCUGUGGGUUUUUGUUUCUCUCUCUCUCUCAGGUGUGUACACCUAGGUGUGUCUUACUGGAGUCCAGCGCCUGCUGAGUCAUUGGGUGGAAUUCAUUCCUGUUCUGGGAUUGAAUAGUUGGUUGAUCACCCCAGUAGUGAUGACAACCCCCUGGUCCCCUCUCUCCUAGCCUCCACCACCCAACAAACAGUCUGUGCUUCCAAGUGUUACUUAGUGUCUUUGUCUGAAAACUUAAUAAAUUGUUAACUGUUGACUCAGUUUUCUCCUGUUUUUCACUUAGAAGGUCAGGUAAGUAAAUUGUCUUUUGGUUGGAUUUUUUUUUCUUU